rnacentral:rRNA from 1 species
CAGCCGCCGCGGGAAUACGUAGGGGGCAAGCGUUGUCCGGAAUCAUUGGGCGUAAAGCGCGUGUAGGCGGCUCGAUAAGUCUGCUGUGAAAGUCCAGGGCUCAACCCUGGAAUGCCGGUGGAAACUGUCGAGCUUGAGUCCGGAAGAGGCGAGUGGAAUUCCUGGUGUAGCGGUGAAAUGCGCAGAUAUCAGGAGGAACACCAAUGGCGAAGGCAGCUCGCUGGGACGGUACUGACGCUGAGACGCGAAAGCGUGGGGAGCAAACAGGAUUAGAGACCCCUGUAGUCCCUGUCUCUUAUAC